rnacentral:tRNA from 1 species
UGCUCGAAUGGCGGAAUUGGCAGACGCUGCGGACUUAAAAUCCGUUGGUUAUUAAACCGUGAGGGUUCAAGUCCCUCUUUGAGCAU